GUAACAACUUCCCUUUCAAGAGUCCAAGACCUCAAUUCUUUGGAGAAAAAUGGAUGAAGUCUACAGUAGAGUGCAGUGAUGUGUUCGGCCUUCACAUUCACUCACUAGUGCUUCAUUGACUCACCCAGAGCAACUUCCAAUCGUGCAAGCUCCGUUCAAGGUGCUGGAUAUUAGACCUUCGUCAGACACAUAGACCAGUGGAACAGAAUAGAGAACCCAGAAAUUAGAUCACUCAUCUUCAACCAUCCAAUCUUCGACAAACCUGACAAAAAGCAAUGGGGAAAGGACUCCCUGUUCAAUAAAUGGUGCUGGGAGAAAUGGCUGGCCAUAUUGUGUCUAGAAUUUAUUCCUUCCAGUGGGUUCUUGGUCUCGCUGGCUUCAAGAAUGGAGCCGCAGACCUUUGCAGUGAGUGUUACAGCUCAUAAAGGUGUUGCAGACCCAAAGAGUGAGCAGCAGCAAGAUUUACUGUGAAGAGCGAAAGAACAAAGCUUCCACAGCAUGGAAGGGCACUUUCCGCUGCUGGCUCAGGUGGCCAGCUUUUAUUCCCUUAUUUGGCCCCACCCACAUCCUGCUGACUGGUCCAUUUUACAGAGCCCUGAUUGGUCCAUUUUACAGAGUGCUGAUUGGUGUGUUUACAAUCCUUUAUCUAGACACUGAGCACUGAUUGGUGCGUUUUUACAGAGGGCUGAUCAGUGCGUUUAUUUUCCUUUAGCUAGACACAGAGCGCUGAUUGGUGCGUUUUUACAGAGUGCUGAUUGGUGCAUUGACAAUCCUUUAGCUAGACACAGAGUGCUGAUUGGUGCAUUUUUACAGAGUGCUGAUUGGUGCAUUUACAAUCCUUGAGCUAGACACAGAGCGCUGAUUGCGUUUACAAUCCUCUAGCUAGAUAGAAAAGUUCUCCAAGUCCCCACUUGACCCAGGAAGUCCAGCUGGCUUCACUUCUCAAUAUGUAGAAAAUUGAAACUGGACCCCUUCCUUACACCACAUACAAAUAUUAAAUCAAAAGAGAUUAAAAACCUAAAUGUAAAACUCAAAACUAAGAAAACCUUGAAAGACAGCUGAGGCAAUACCAUUCGGGACAUAGGCCAUGAGCAAAGAUUUCAUGAGAAAAAUGCCAAAGGCAACUGCAAGAAAACAAAAAAUUGACAAAUGGGACCUAACUAAACUGAAGAACUCUGCACAGCAAAAGAAACUGUCUGCAGAGUAAACAGACCACCUACAGAAUGGGAGAAAAUGUUUGCACUGAUUUACUUUCACAAAGUCAGUUUGUGAAAGAAAAAGAGAACAAGUGGAAUUUGAAAGGCAAUGGCUAAUUUCUUAUGCAUCAGUGAAGACAUUGGAAUCCAAUAGAGUUGAGUGCAAAGCCCACCCUGCCCCAAUUCUGUGCCUAUAAAGACCUCAGGCUCAGCCAGCAGAGAGGAAAAGUGGCUGGAUGUUGAGAGAGGCAGUUUGACUCCAGAGAUGGCAGCUGGAUGUCGGAAAGCAGCAACUUGACUUCACAAGAGAGAGGCAGAGGUGACUUAAUAUCAGAGGAGAGCAACCUGCCCUUCCCAUCCCCUUUCCAUCUCCCCUCUUGCUGAGAGCCGCUCUCGUCACGCAAUAAAAUUCACCACAUUCACCAUCCUUCAAUUUAUAUUUGCGACCUCAUUCCUCUUGGGCACCGGACAAGAAUUUGGGAUGCACCAAGUGUGGACACCCACAAAGGCUGUCACAGUGGCCCUUUGCCAUUGCCAGCAGAGGGCAGCUGCCCCAUGCAAUAAGCCAAAGGGCUGGCUGAGCUGAUAACACACUGCUUUCUGUGGACGGCGGCGGAGCUAAAAGAGUAUUGUAACAUGCCCUCUGGGGCCUUGGGGAACCCCACCUGGAUCCUGCCAAGAGGCCUGCAUGAAGUUUGCUCCUGCCAGCACUAAAGCAGCCAGUUUUUUCCUGCACUCACUCACCUGCACACUUCCUCCUGCGAUGGGUGGGACACAGUCAACCUGAGUGAGCAGAGUUUGCUCAUGCAGGCACCUAAAUUGCUGGCAAGUUCCUGAGCUCAUUCGCUUCAAUUCCCGUACUCAUUUGCAUGGGUGCUCCCUCCCACAAGGGGUUGAACAGGACAGGUUGAGUAAAUGGUGCACCCCUCUUUUGAGUCCCACCAAGGGUCAAGAAAAUAUCCUGCAUCACUUUGUCAACUUAUGCCACUUAAAGGACAUGCUGCCUACUUUAGACUUAUUUACAAGUUUGCAUAAUUUUUAGACAUAGACAACGCCGUUUAUCUCUGCAAUUACUAUCAAUUCUAACCUAGGAAGCACCAAGUUAAUGGCAAUAAAAAAAAAAAGAAUAAACAACUGUUUCCAGCAACAAGGUGACUGUACCAGUAAUUAAUUUAUUGCCUUCCAGAGGCAAAUUCACUAUUGCCUGUUCUGAGAAAAAGAAUCUGGGCCCUUCAAAUAGCUGCCAGAAUGUAAAAACUUGCCAGCAGAUGGUGGUGGAGAGAUGCUGGAGGUGGAAGGGAUUUCAUCCCAGGUCUGGUAUGCUCCCUCAUCAGGCUCUCACAGUGGAACACACCUUCUCCAACACCUGGCUCCUGUUCAGCAGCACCCAGAGACCAUCAGCUUCCUUUUGCACUCCUUUCAGAUAAUUUAGCAGUUGAGUCUCUCUGGAAAAAUCAAUAGCUUUCCAUGACACCCCAGAGGAUGAAUCUCCUGCCUGCCCAAAAGGCAUAUUUUCAGCAAUUUCUUCCAGUACAGCCCCACUGCAACUACUCUGCCACCCAGUGAGAGCCACAUUCUCUUUUCUUUUUUUUCUUUUUUUUAAUUUUUGAUUUCCAACUUUUAAGCUCAAGGGAACAUGUUCAGGAUAUAGAGUGUGCAGUUUGGUACAUAGGUAAACAUGUGCCUUGUGGUUUGCUGCACAGAUCAUCCCAUCACCUAGGUAUUAAGCCCAGCAUCCAUUAGCUGUUCUUCCUGAUGCUCUCCCUCCUCCCAUGCCCCACCCUCCAACAGGCCCUAGUCUGUGUUGUUCUCUCCCCGGCAAUUCCUCAAAGACUUAGAGGCAGAAAUACCAUUUGACCCAGCAAUCCCAUUAUUGGGUAUAUACCCAAAGGAAUAUAAAUCAUUCAAUCAGGAACAUAUACGCAUGUGUACGUUCACUGCAGCACUAUUCACAAUAGCAAAGACAUGGAAUCAACCUAAAUGUCCAUCAAUGAUAGACUGGAUAAAGAAAAUAUGGUACAUACACACCAUGGAAUACUAUGCAGUCACAAAAAGGAAUGAGAUCAUGUCUUUUGUAGGGACAUGGAUGGGGCUGGAAGUCAUUAUCCUCAGAAAACUAAUGCAGGAACAGAAAAACCAAACAGUGCAUGUUCUCACUUAUAUGUGGGAGCUGAGUGUUGAGAACACAUGGACACAUGGUAGUGAGCCACAUUCUUACCCUUUCCAAUAAGGCUUGAAUCUCAUCUUGGUAGGGAGGGAGCAGUCUUACUGGAUGCUGUAUUUCAGCACCAGGGAUUGGAGAACACUCCCUCACUUUUGCAUCAGCUAAUCCUGUACUCUAUAAAAUUCUUUUCAUUUAUUACAAUCCUAUUCCUCCAUACACAAAUCUCCUGUUAAAAUUAAUAACUUUUAUAUCAAACUUCCUCUGUUCACAUUACUGUGUUGGUUUCUCCCUCCUGAUUGGAUCACAACUGAUACAAUUGGGUUAAAUACUUUUUCAUAAAAUAAAUUAUUAAAUCCAUUCCUUUAGUGUGUAAGUAUUUAGAGUUUACAAAUUACUGAGAUUUAAUUCUACAAAUUAUACAUAUUUACAAUCUAGGUGAAGGCACUCAAGAGAUAUUUAAACAUUUCCCCUCUAAGACAUCAGUUUAAAGAAAGACAGAAAGAAAGAAAGAAAGAAAGAAAGAAAGAAAGAAAGAAAGAAAGAAAGAAAGAAAGAAAGAAAACCCUUUGCUAGCACAAAACAGUCCCCAAAACCUUACUGUUGGGGUUGAGAAACUGAUACCUCCUAUGGCACUUUGGAAUGCUGAGUACUUUGAAUCAAAGGAGUUGAAAGACCAUAGAAGCAACUUCAGAACCAAUGUCACUCUGACCUCCUGCUCUUCUGUCUCUUACCCUCUUUCUCCUGCAAUAGUGCAAGGAGGGGCUCUCCCUGAACUUUCCUUAUCUGUCUAAAGAUUGGCCCUCUAGAAAGAAUACACUUGUCAUGAGUGUUUUUCCUGGGAAUCUCAUCAGCCAGGGAAAAGUAAAAGUAUCACAGGGGAGGAAACUGAAAGUUGACAACAUGCCCAGGCAGAUUUUAUCACAGACUAUCGCCUCUUUUUCUGAGACUGUUUAUUACCUGAAAGACCUUUUGUUUGCAUAACAAGACAACCUUUGUUCACCCUGCAUUUUCUCCCCUCACUCUCCCAUAACUUGUGUCACCACCAACCCUAGAAUCCCCAGGCCUGUAUUCCUUUCUUCAGCUCAAGAUGUUAUAUAUGUUUCAAUCAUCUGCCCCCUUUUCAAGUCUCAUAUUUUGUGGGACUCCUAUGUGUAUGCAAAUAAUUAAAAUGUUUUUUUCUCCUGUUAGUAAUUAUCAAACCUUCAGAGGAUAAAGAAAGUUUCCUUUCUCUAUAUUAAUAAUCUCUAGUCCCAACAUUCCAUUCCUCAUUCCCCAGCAUUCACACACACAUUUCCAUGCUGCUUUUCAACAAAAAGUUUUAUUUCCUGCAGUGUAGCAAAAUAACAUGAUUCUAAGUUCUCUUUUAUAAAAUCUGUUAGCUAUUAUAAUUCCUUCACUCACUUUCCCCUUUGUAAUAAAUUUUUCCCCAUCCAUUAAAAUAAUAUGGGCUUAGUAGAAUGCUUAAAAAAUAAAGAUCCACAUGAAAAAUUUAAAGUCAUGUAUAAACAUAUAAUUUAGUGAUAAUUAGUGUUAACAUUUUGGCUCAUUUUCUCUUUGCCUUUGUAAAAUUACAUUAGUCUUGGAUUUGUUUCUUUUCCUACCCCUAUCACAAAAGAUGCUCCUCUUCAUCCAUGGUUACUAUUUUAGUGUGCCCUAAAGGAUAUCACAGCUGAUAUGUCAGGCUACAGUUGUAACUUCCCUAAAAUUAUGACCUUCUUCUAUCGUUGAUGUUGUCACCACGUGGUAAUGAAAUCUUAGGAUAUUAUAAAUAGUUUGGUAUUUGAUUCUCAUAUUUAAUAAUGAAUCUAGAGAUUUCAGGGAAGAAAUAAAGUUGAUAUUGUUUGGAUAUUUGUUCCCUUUAAAUGUCAUCUUGAAAUUUGAUCCUCAGUGUUGGAGGUGGAGCUUAGUGAAAGGCAUCUAGGUCAUGCAGCACUCCUAGCACCUCCAAGGUCUGCUUUUUCAAAAGAGUCUGGAGCCUCCCUUUAUUCACUUUUUCCUUCUCUCUCACCGUGUGUUGGUUUCUCUCCUUUCCCUUCUGCCAUGAGUGAAAACUUUCUGAAGCCCUCAUCAGAAGCAGAUGCUGGUACCAUGCUUGCACAGCCUGCACGAGUGUAAGCCAAAUAAACCUCUUUUCUUUAUAAAUUCCUCAGCCUCAUAGUAUUCCUUUACAGCUAUGCAAAUGGACUAAGACAAGAGUUGAUCCCCUUCAACCACACAGAAAAAGACUUCCACUUUGUUGAAUUUGCUUCAUUUACAAACAAAACUCUAAUAAUAAUAGUAUACAGAGAAUUAAAGAAUACAAUUGAUCAUAUGCACUGACUUAGAAAAGGAAUGCACAUGGGAUGGCAAAAUAGAGAAGGCUUCUUGUGAGUGUGUGGGGGAGGCAGGAUAGGGUUAUCUGGGUCUUUAAAAAAACACUUGACUUAAGCAGAGAGGGCUAUGAGAGGGCUUAAUAAAAGUACAGAGGUAGAAAUACAGAAGAGGUAUAAAAAUAACAAAUAGUCUUAUGUGAUUACAACUUGACAUAUGUAAUUUAGCGGAAGCAUUUUCUACUUCUGAAACAAAUUAUGAUUAACACUUCCUGUAAUAGGUUUAUAAUUAUGUAAACCUAUUUAAAUCAAUCAUUUGCACAACAAAAUGAAUGAAUUAAUUUGUUGCAGCUGUGUUUACUGAGGCACACAUGUAAAGCAAUUUUAAAUGCUGUCAAGUAACAAUGAUUUCGUUUCAUGACUCACACUAAGUGAGAAAUUCUGAUUUUUUUAAGACAAAGUUUAAAAAAUCAAAAACUUAAAACUCCUGGAACUAAAAGCAUAGAAGAAAAGCUUCAUGACAUAGGACAUGACAAUGUGUUCUCACAUAUGACACCAAAGCACAGGGAAAGAAAGCAAAAGUAGAAAAGGGACUAUAUCAAACUCAAAAACUUUUGUGCAUUGAAGGACACACCUAACAGCCUGAAAAGGCAACCUAUGGAGUAGGAGAAAAUAUUUGCAAAUCAUAUAUAUCUAUACAUAUAUAUGGAUAUGAUAGUAAAUUGUUAUACAGAAAAUAUAAAAAGAACUUCUAUAACUCAAUAACAAAAAUCAAAUAACUUAUUUUUUUAAAUGGGCUAAGGACUUGAAUAGAUAUUUCUCCAAAAGUAAUACGCAAAUGGACCACAGUCAUAUAAAACAAAUAUUUGACAUCAUAAAUAAUUAGGGAAAUGCAAGUUAAAAUCACAAGAUAUCAUCUUACAUUCACUAGUAUGACUGCUAUCAAAAAAAUGAAACAAAACAGAAAAUAACAAAUGUUAGUGAGAAUGUGGAGAAAUUGGAACCCUAGUACACUGUUGGCGGGAUUGUGCAACCACUAUGCAAAAAUUAUAAAAAAUUAAAAAUAGAACUACCAUAUUACCCAACAAUUCCACAUCUGGGAUUUUAACCAAUACUUUUAACCAAAAGUAUUGAAAGAAGAGUCUCAAAGAGAUAUUUGAACACUCAUGUUUAUAGAAGCACUAUUUAAAACACCAACAAGUAGAAGCAGCCCAAAUAUCCAUUGACAAGUGAAUGGAUGAAGGAAAUGUAGUAUAUACACAUACAAUGGAAUAUUAUUCACCCCUAAAAAGGAAAUCUUGUCACAUACUACAGCAGGGAUAAGCCUGAAUGAUAUGCUAAAUAAAUAAGCCAGUCACAAUAAGACAAAUACUGUAUGAUUCAACUUCUAUAAAAUGGUGAUUACUAGGGACUGAGGUGAAAAAGUUCUAGAUAUAUGUAUUACAACAAGUUGAAUAUACUUAAAACUACUGAAUUGCACUCUUAAAAUGAUUAAAAUGAAGAAAAUACAUGUUUUUAACUACAAUUUAAUUUUUUUUAAAUCACAAAUUUAGUGAUAGGUAUGUGGCUUUAUAGAUGUUUUAAUCCAAACUUCACAUUUUAACAAUAAAAGUACUAGGACCUUAGAAGAUGGGUGACUGGUUUCAGAUUAUCCAGUCAAGAUGAAAAUUUAUGCCUUCCAAAUUACCACAUCUUAGGUGUCUUCAUCUGCUAGCUUAAUCCCAGGUUGUUCCUGGACUAUCUCUACAUCAAGCAGUGAAAGCUUAACUCCCUUCAUGUUUUACGAUGGAUAAAUAUGUGAGGUGAAAAUCAAGAGGCUAGCAUUGACCCAAUGUACAUCAUCUAUCAAGGAGACAAUGUUCGUUUGUUCUUUGAUGAAUCUCUAAGACAACAUUGUCAUGAUUUUGUUUUCAUCACACAUUUGCAUUAGGU
rnacentral:lncRNA from 1 species